UGGGGAAUUUUGGACAAUGGGGGCAACCCUGAUCCAGCAAUGCCGCGUGAGUGAAGAAGGCCUUCGGGUUGUAAAGCUCUUUUGUCAGGGAAGAAACGGUAGUAGCGAAUAACUAUUACUAAUGACGGUACCUGAAGAAUAAGCACCGGCUAACUACGUGCCAGCAGCCGCGGUAAUACGUAGGGUGCAAGCGUUAAUCGGAAUUACUGGGCGUAAAGCGUGCGCAGGCGGCUGUGUAAGUCAGAUGUGAAAUCCCCGGGCUCAACCUGGGAAUUGCAUUUGAGACUGCACGGCUAGAGUGUGUCAGAGGGGGGUAGAAUUCCACGUGUAGCAGUGAAAUGCGUAGAUAUGUGGAGGAAUACCGAUGGCGAAGGCAGCCCCCUGGGAUAACACUGACGCUCAUGCACGAAAGCGUGGGGAGCAAACAGGAUUAGAUACCCCCGUAGUCCCUGAGCGGGCUGGCAAGGCGCAU
rnacentral:rRNA from 1 species